GCGUAAAGGGCGUGUAGGCGGUCUUUCAAGUCCGAUGCUAAAGACUGGGGCUCAACCCCCAGGGGUGCGUUGGAUACUGUGAGGCUAGACGGUCGGAGGGGGUAGCGGAAUUUCCGGAGUAGCGGUGAAAUGCGCAGAUACCGGAAGGAACGCCAAUAGCGAAGGCAGCUACCUGGACGACUUGUGACGCUGAGGCGCGAAAGCGUGGGGAGCAAACCGGAUUAGAUACCCGGGUAGUCCACGCCCUAAACCAUGAGUGCUGGGUGUCCGGCUUCUGCUGGGUGCCGUAGCUAACGCGCUAAGCACUCCGCCUGGGAAGUACGCACGCAAGUGUGAAACUCAAAGGAAUUGACGGGGGCCCGCACAAGCGGUGGAGCAUGUGGUUUAAUUCGAAGCGACGCGAAGAACCUUACCAGGCCUUGACAUGCCCGGAACCCCUCUGAAAGGAGGGGGUGCCCGCAAGGGAGCCGGGACACAGGUGCUGCAUGGCCGUCGUCAGCUCGUGUCGUGAGAUGUUGGGUUAAGUCCCGCAACGAGCGCAACCCCUAUCCCUAGUUGCCAGCAGUUCGGCUGGGCACUCUAUGGAGACUGCCUGCGAAAGCAGGAGGAAGGCGGGGAUGACGUCUGGUCCGCAUGGCCCUUACGGCCUGGGCGACACACGUGCUACAAUGCCAAGGACAGAGCGCUGCUACCUCGCGAGAGGACGCCAAUCGCAAAAACCUUGGCUCAGUUCGGAUUGGAGUCUGCAACUCGACUCCAUGAAGCCGGAAUCGCUAGUAAUCGCGAAUCAGCCAUGUCGCGGUGAAUACG
rnacentral:rRNA from 1 species